GACGAACGCUGGCGGCGUGCCUAACACAUGCAAGUCGAGCGGGGUUGAAGCGAGGGGUAACUCGGACUUCUACCUAGCGGCGGACGGGUGAGUAACGCGUGGGCAACCUGCCUCAAGGUUUGGGAUAACAGCUCGAAAGGGCUGCUAAUACCGGAUAUGCCUGUGGCCUCGCAUGGGGCUAUGAGCAAAGGGGAAACCUGCCUUGAGAUGGGCCCGCGUCCCAUCAGCUAGUUGGUGAGGUAACAGCUCACCAAGGCGACGACGGGUAGCCGGCCUGAGAGGGUGACCGGCCACACUGGGACUGAGACACGGCCCAGACUCCUACGGGGGGCAGCAGUGGGGGAUCUUGCACAAUGGGCGAAAGCCUGAUGCAGCGACGCCGCGUGAGCGAAGAAGGCCUUCGGUUGUAAGACUCUGUCUGGAGGGACGGAAGGAAGGUAGACGGUACCGUCCGGACGGGAAGGACCACGGCGUAACUAACCGUUGGCCACGCAGCCGCGGUAAGUCAUACUCGUAC
rnacentral:rRNA from 1 species